rnacentral:rRNA from 1 species
UACGUAGGGGGCUAGCGUUGUCCGGAAUCAUUGGGCGUAAAGCGCGUGUAGGCGGUCCGGUAAGUCCGCUGUGAAAGUCGGGGGCUCAACCCUCGAAUGCCGGUGGAUACUGUCGGGCUAGAGUGCGGAAGAGGCGAGUGGAAUUCCUGGUGUAGCGGUGAAAUGCGCAGAUAUCCGGAGGAACACCUAUUGCGAAGGCAGCUCGCUGGGACGUAACUGACGCUGAGACGCGAAAGCGUGGGGAGCAAACAGG